rnacentral:rRNA from 1 species
CCUACGGGUGGCAGCAGUUAGGAAUAUUGGGCAAUGGAGGAAACUCUGACCCAGCAACGCCGCGUGAAGGAAGAAGGUUUUCGGAUUGUAAACUUCUGUUCUAGGGGAAGAAGAAAGUGAUAGUACCCUAGGAGAAAGCCACGGCUAACUACGUGCCAGCAGCCGCGGUAAUACGGAGGUGGCAAGCGUUGUCCGGAAUGACGGGCGUAAAGGGAGCGUAGGGUGUUGUGUAAGUUAAAUGUGAAAGCCCGGGGCUCAACUUCGGAACUGCAAUUAAUACUGGACAACUAGAGUUCAGGAGAGGUAAGCGGAAUUCCUAGUGUAGCGGUGGAAUGCGUAGAUAUUAGGAAGAACACCAGAGGCGAAGGCGGCUUACUGGACUGUAACUGACGCUGAGGCUCGAAAGCGUGGGGAGCAAACAGGAUUAGAUACCCCUGUAGUC